UCAUAUAUACAUGCCUAUAGUUUUAAUGCACUGGAUCCCAUUAGAACUCUGCAGUUAAGUGUGCUUGGGCUAGAGCAGUACUGGGAUGGGUUACCUCAUAGGAAGUCCUAGUGUUUUACAUUCC
rfam:Picea glauca, whole genome shotgun sequence.